rnacentral:rRNA from 1 species
AGGUGACAGGGCGAUCGCGACCUGUGAAACUGAUACACGCACCAAAUCCCUACGGGAGGCAGCAGUGAGGAAUAUUGCACAAUGGGCGAAAGCCUGAUGCAUGAACGCCGCGUGAGCGAUGAAGGGCUUCGUGUCGUAUAGCUCUGUCCUCAUCGAAGAUAACUGUUGUACUUGAGGAGGCAGCCCCGGCUCACUACGUGCUGCCGCCGCGAUAG